AACGCACAUUGCGCCCCGUGGUAUUCCGCGGGGCAUGCCUGUUCGAGCGUCAUUUCAACCCAUCAAGCUUCGGCUUGGUCUUGGGGCCUGCGGUUUCGCAGCCUCUAAACUCAGUGGCGGUGCUAUUGAGCUCUGAGCGUAGUAAUUUUUCUCGCUAUAGGGUCUCGGUGGUUAACUUGCCAGCAACCCCCCCAUUUUUAUCAGGUUGACCUCGGAUCAGGUAGGGAUACCCGCUGAACUUAA
rnacentral:misc_RNA from 1 species